rnacentral:RNase_P_RNA from 1 species
CCAGAUAAACGACUUGUCGCUUUUAUUAAAAAAGAGGAAAGUCCGGGCUCUUUGAAGAUACGGUGCCAGGUAAUUCCUGGCGGGGGAAACCCUAGGGAUAGUGCCACAGAAAAUAAACCGCCUCAACAAGGCAAGGGUGAAAAGGUGUGGUAAGAGCACACCGGCUACACUGGUAACAGUUAGCGCAUGGAAAACCCCACUGGGAGCAAGACCGAAUAGAGAUGACAUUGUUUUAUACUAAAAGCAAUCUUCAGCUAGUCAUCAGGGUUGGUCGCUUGAUCUCAAAAGUGAUUUUGAGACUAGAUAAAUGAUAGGUUUAAAUGACAGAACCCGGCUUACAGUUUAUCUGGCAAA